UCACCCGCUGAAUUUAAGCAUAUUAUUAAGCGGAGGAAAAGAAACUAACCAGGAUUCCCCUAGUAACGGCGAGCGAA
rnacentral:rRNA from 2 species